CUUCACCAGCUAGGACACCAGCCUCUCGCUACAGAGAAGGUUGGCCAGGGCCAUGCUGGUAAACGUUUAACAUCUGGCUGCCUGUGGAGUGUAAGGCCUGGGAUUUGUAGCUUUUGUUGAUUUUCAUGAUGUAAUGCUUCUGUCCUGGCCGAUUGCAAGCUGUCAGGGUGAAGUCACAGAAAGGGCAUUUGGGAAGUGAUGUGCACACAGCACUCGUGAGCUGUGGUGAGCUGACUCUAGCACACCAUGACUACAUACAGCUUAUAGCUGUUCCUUUCUCUGGGGAAUUGCCUCCUGACUGAAGACUGUCGCCUUUCAGGCUUCACCUAUGGUUACCUGUAAAUAAUGACCAACUGAUAUGGGUGUACAAAAUUCCAGUCCCCUUGCCUCAAGAAUUCUUGUGUAGAGUCAAUGUUCCAAGAUGCUAGACUAUAUACGUCCCAUGGCUGUUCCAACGAAGAAGAUGAGAAAACUAAGAUUUGGAGCACAAAGUAAUUUGCUGAAGGUCAAAAAGCAGUUAAUGCUGGAACCAAGAGCCCCACAUCUCUGGAUUUUCAGGCAGGUUUCUCUGCUUGCCCAUGUUGCCUGCCCAGCUUCUGAGGACAACGUUGACUGUCCUGUGAAUUGGGAUCACUCAGUCAAAUGCCUCUGCUGAUACCCCAAGGUUGAAUGGCAGUUUGUUUAGCAUGGCAGCUUUCAGACUCCAAGUGUUUCUGAGUGUGUGUUAGAAACCACCAUUUCAUCCAAAACUGGCCGAAGUGGAGAAUUGUUUUGUACUUCCCAGCUGUAUUUCCUUGAAAAUAGAUGGUCUGAGAAUGCCCUCUGGUGCCUUCCUACUGUGUCUUCAAGCACUUUAGAGGCAGGAGGUGGCUGUGGGAAAGGAUGAAGAAAAGCUAGGCUCCUGGAAAUGGUUUUUUCUCUCAAAAAAUGUGGCGUGGGCAUACUGUCAGCAAACCGUGGCAGGAUUCGACCAGGAAGUUGGAUAAAAACAUAAUGUGUGGUUAUGCCGCCUCUGUUGCAUUUGCCUUUUUUUCUCUAACAAUGAAUAUAAUUCUUUUUAAUUGCACAAUUAUUUAAAUACUUAUUCAAGUCAUAUUAUAUUAAUACAAGGCAUAGAAACAAUAACAAAUUGGUAGGCAUAAAAAUCUCUGACACAAUUUGAAUUUAGGCAUAUCCUUUUCUGGUUUUCUGCAUAAUAUGAUUACCAUUUCCCAAGAACAUGAGCAAAAGCACACUCCCUGGGUCCUCAGAAUGGAGCGCACCU
rnacentral:lncRNA from 10 species